GACGAACGCUGGCGGCGUGCUUAACACAUGCAAGUCGAACGGAAAGGCCCUGCUUUUGUGGGGUGCUCGAGUGGCGAACGGGUGAGUAACACGUGAGUAACCUGCCCUUGACUUUGGGAUAACUUCAGGAAACUGGGGCUAAUACCGGAUAGGAGCUCCUGCUGCAUGGUGGGGGUUGGAAAGAUUCGGCGGUUGGGGAUGGACUCGCGGCUUAUCAGCUUGUUGGUGGGGUAGUGGCUUACCAAGGCUUUGACGGGUAGCCGGCCUGAGAUGGUGACCGGCCACAAUGGUACUGAGAUACGGCCCAGUCGCCUACGGGAGGCAGCAGGGGGGAAUAUUGCACAAUGGGCGGUAGCCUGAUGUAGCAACGCCGCGUGCGGGAUGAUGGCUUUCGGGUUGUAAACCGCUUUCGCCGGUGACGAAGCGUGAGUGACGGUAAUGGGUAAAAAAGCACCGGCUAACUACGUG
rnacentral:rRNA from 1 species